GGCAGUUGGUGAACCUGCUGCCUCCAGAGAACCUUCCCUGGUGUGGAGGCAGCCAGGGACCCAGGAUGCUCCGGACCUGUUACGUGCUCUGUUCCCAAGCUGGUCCCCUCUCCAGGGGCUGGCAGUCCCUGAGCUUUGAUGGCGGGGCCUUCCACCUUAAGGGCACAGGAGAGCUGACACGGGCCUUGCUGGUUCUCCGGCUGUGUGCCUGGCCCCCACUCGUCACUCACGGGCUGUUGGUGAGCAGUGAUCCUGAGGACCAGCCUGGAGGCUCCUCAUAGCCUGGCCCUGAGCCCUCGCUUCCUGUCACCCAGCUCCAGGCCUGGUCUCGGCGACUCCUGGGCUCCCGGCUCUCAGGCGCGUUUCUCCGAGCAUCCGUCUAUGGGCAGUUUGUGGCUGGUGAGACAGCAGAGGAGGUGAGGGGCUGCGUGCAGCAGCUGCGGACCCUCAGCCUCCGACCACUGCUGGCAGUGCCCACUGAGGAGGAGCCGGACUCUGCUGCCAAGAGUGGGUGAGUAGGGAGCCAGGGCCCAGGGAGGCUGGGAGGACUCAGGAAGGGGCUUUGCGGGUCGGGCCCUGACACCUGCUGGCUGGGCAGUGAGGCGUGGUAUGAGGGGAACCUCGGUGCUAUGCUGCGGUGUGUGGACCUGUCACGGGGCCUCCUGGAGCCCCCCAGCCUGGCUGAGGCCAGCCUCAUGCAGCUGAAGGUGACGGCGCUGACCAGCACUCGGCUCUGUGUAAGGAGUGCAAAGACGGGGGUGCGGGGAGGGCGCGGCUGCCCACCGGGCUCCCCUCACCACCCCGCCUACCACCCCGUUUCAGAAGGAGCUAGCCUCGUGGGUCAGAAGGCCAGGAGCCUCCUUGGAGCUGAGCCCCGAGAGGCUGGCUGAAGCUAUGGACUCUGGGCAGAGCCUCCAGGUCUCCUGCCUCAAUGCUGAGCAGAACCAGCACCUCCGGGCCUCCCUCAGCCGCUUGCAUCGGGUGGCACAGGUAACCCCUCCUGCUGGAACCAGCACCUCCGGGCCUCCCUCAGCUGCUUGCAUCGGGUGGCACAGGUAACCCCUCCUGCUGGAACCAGCACCUCCGGGCCUCCCUCAGCCGCCUGCAUCGGGUGGCACAGGUAACCCCUCCUGCUGGGAUCUGGCUCCACUGCCCCUGCUGGACACCCGGGGCCCUGACCGUCGUCUCUGUCACCAUCAGUAUGCCCGGGCCCAGCACGUGCGGCUCCUGGUGGAUGCAGAGUACACCUCACUGAACCCUGCGCUCUCGCUGCUGGUGGCUGCCCUGGCUGUGCGCUGGAACAGCCCGGGUGAAGGCGGGCCCUGGGUGUGGAACACCUACCAGGCCUGUCUAAAGGUGUGCAGUGUGUUCCAGGAGGUGCAGGCUGGGGUCCCCACACCCUGACCUACCAGAACCUGCCUGCGUGCCCUAUAGGACACAUUCGAGCGGCUGGGGAGGGAUGCAGAGGCUGCGCACAGGGCCGGCCUGGCCUUCGGAGUGAAGCUGGUACGAGGUGCAUAUCUGGACAAGGAGAGAGCGGUGGCCCAGCUCCAUGGGAUGGAAGACCCCACUCAGCCUGACUAUGAGGCCACCAGUCAGAGUUACAGCCGCUGCCUGGAACUGAUGCUGACGCACGUGGCCCGCCAUGGCCCCACGUGCCACCUCAUGGUGGCUUCCCACAAUGAGGAAUCUGUUCGCCAGGCAACCAAGCGCAUGUGGGAGCUGGGCAUUCCUCUGGAUGGGACUGUCUGUUUCGGACAACUUCUGGGCAUGUGUGACCACGUCUCUCUAGCACUGGGGCAGGCCGGCUAUGUAGUGUAUAAGUCCAUCCCCUAUGGCUCCUUGGAGGAGGUAAUCCCCUACCUGAUCCGGAGGGCCCAGGAAAACCGGAGCGUGCUUCAGGGUGCCCGCAGGGAACAGGAGCUGCUCAGCCAAGAACUGUGGCGGCGGCUGCUGCCAGGAUGCCGAAGGAUACCCCACUAGCACCCCUGAGGGGGUCAUGUGGUCAAUAAAAGUCCUUAGGUGCUGCCU
rnacentral:sRNA from 1 species